rnacentral:rRNA from 1 species
GACGAACGCUGGCGGCGUGCUUAACACAUGCAAGUCGAACGGAAAGGCCCUGCUUUUGUGGUGUGCUCGAGUGGCGAACGGGUGAGUAACACGUGAGUAACCUGCCCUUGACUUUGGGAUAACUUCAGGAAACUGGGGCUAAUACCGGAUAGGAGCUCCUGCUGCAUGGUGGGGGUUGGAAAGUUUCGGCGGUAGGGGAUGGAUUCGCGGCUUAUCAGCUUGUUGGUGGGGUAGUGGCUUACCCAGGCUGAGAAGGGUAGCCGGCCUGAGAGGGUGACCGGCGACCAUAGUCCUGAGAUACGGACCAGAGUGGUACGGUGGACAGCAGGGGGAAAUAUGGCACAAUGGGCCGGAGCCUGAGGCAAAAGCGCCGCGGGCGUGAAGACGGCCUGCGGGGUAUGAAAAGCUGUCGCCUGAGACGAAGCGUGAGUGACGGUAAUGGAUAAAGAAGCACCGGCUAACUACGUG